CCUGGCGGCAAUAGCGCGGUGGUCCCACCUGACCCCAUGCCGAACUCAGAAGUGAAACGCCGUAGCGCCGAUGGUAGUGUGGGGUUUCCCCAUGCGAGAGUAGGACACUGCCAGGC
rnacentral:rRNA from 2 species